ACAGCAACUUCCAGUCCUGCAAUCUUCAUUCCUGAAUGGGAGAAAGCAGUCUUCAGCCUGAGACCCAUCCCUAGACUCUAUGGCACAAAGAGGCACUAUAGAAAAUCCUAGAGUUUAUUCUGAGUAAAGCAAUAUGCAAUUGGCACAACUGGCAACUGAAAGGAUCCUGAAUCAGAAGGAUUUUAAAUGCCAUUUUGGCACAGAAUGUCAGAGCACAAGUGUGGUGAAGAGGACUCUGUGUCAGGAAGAGGGUGGAAGAGAUAUGACAUUGGUUAAACAGAGAAUUGGUGAAAUAAGAAAAUAAGUUGAAAAAAUAAAACAAAACCAGGUGACAAAUUUCUCAAAGCCAGAGAAAGGAUUAAAAGUAUGGAAUGGAAUUAAACAGGUAUGAAGCCUCAUGAUUAAACUGGAUGUAUCAGUAAUGAAAUCAUGGAAUCUAAAAAAAAAAUCAAUAUAAAUGUGUAUGUAUACAUAUAUGGAGAGAGAGACAGACAAACGGACAGACAGAGGAAGGGGCCAAGCAAUGGGUACAAGU